rnacentral:rRNA from 1 species
AGCGCAGGCGGUUUCUUAAGUCUGAUGUGAAAGCCUUCGGCUCAACCGAAGAAGUGCAUCGGAAACUGGGAAACUUGAGUGCAGAAGAGGACAGUGGAACUCCAUGUGUAGCGGUGAAAUGCGUAGAUAUAUGGAAGAACACCAGUGGCGAAGGCGGCUGUCUGGUCUGUAACUGACGCUGAGGCUCGAAAGCAUGGGUAAGCAAACA